AUGCAGUUCCCGUCAAAGGAGCAAGCAAAGGAGAGGUCAAGGGACUGGGAAAUCUAUUUCUUUAAACCAUCCGUCAAGUGGGUUCCAUACUUGAGAAUCAAGGUACACGGUGUUGAAAUGCUCAACCCCGUCGUCAUCCAAUUUGUCGUCACCCUCACUACCUCGCUCAUGGUGACCCGAUUUGUGCUGGAUGCUUUGCGGCAUCGGUCAACAGGCAAUGGCAUGAGAAGGACACUGAUCAUUUUGGACCCAGUAACCCAAGCAUUGACCGUAUACAGUCUUGGGAUCAUGCAACGCCACUCCGAUAAGGACUACUACUACAAGGUGUGGGCUGUGCUGUUGGUCACCCUCCGUUACAGCGUGAAGAUAGGCCGCCCGGCCGGCAUCGCCCUGAAGCAAACCCCGUUGGUCGAUCUGAUGUCCUCCUUCUGGGCUGCCAACAUCCUUCACUCUAAGGCACCCAAGAUUCUCAAGGUAACUGGUUGGCUGCUUUGGUCAGUCAACUCUUUACGCAUCAUCCAUGGUUUUGUCUCCUCAGAGUUCGCCAAUAAUAGCCACAGAGAAAAUUUGAAGUUAUUAACAGAGUACAUGCGUCAUGAGCAUAAAGCGGGUGGUGCUUGUGCUGAUGGUGACCCUAGCACAAUGAAAGGGUACAGGUACUUGGUGCGAGGUGAAACCAAGAAAUGGAAGAAGAAAGAAACCGGCGGACAAGCAAGAGAUGGUGAUAUGGCCGGGGAAAGUGAGAAUAUCAGGAGUCUCUUGCAGGCGUUGGGAGAUAAGGACAAGGAGGUCCUGACGCUUGAGAAGAUCUGGGAGGAGCCGGCUGAGUCGCCCGACGCCCUUGACAAGGAGCUCAAGGACCUCUGCCUCUCCUUUGCACUCUACAAGCUCCUUCGCAGGCGUUUCUUCAACUUCGUCAUCCACGAGGCCGAGCUGAAAAGGACGAGACAGCUGGUCCUUGAGGGGAUCCUUGGUGACUCAACGACCACGGCCGAAAGGGCGUUCCGUGUCAGCGAGGCCGAGGUGUCAUUCCUCAAUGACUUCUUCAACAGCAGGCAUGCCAUAAUAUUUGCAAAAGGCUUUCCGUUCAUCCGGCUCCUGCUAUCCACCAUUUUGAUAGGGGGGAUCGGAGGCAUGGCGGUUGCUAUCUAUAACUUCUCCAAGGUUGGUACAAGAGACGAGCUCGGCAAUGUUCAUGGCGGAGUAACUUUCACAUGGUUUCUCCUGUCGUUUCUUUUUGUAAAAGAGACAUGGGAGAUCGCAACUUACGUGUUCUCAGACUGGACCAAGAUAAUUUUGUUGUGCCAGUACGUGCAGAAGCCAUGGUGGCUGCGAAGCUCGGUGACCAAUGCUCUUGUGCGGAAGCUCUGUAGGCUCUCUGUGCCCUGGUUGCCAAGAUGGCACCGUACGGUCGGCCAAUGCAACAUUCUCUUCCCCUCCCGUUCUGUCUAUCCCACCUGGUUUUUCUUUCUACCAAGACAUUCUACAGACUUCGUCGAUCUGUCCCCGAAUGUGAAACAUACUGUGAUCAACUGCCUUAGAGACUGCUUGGCCGAGGAUCCCACGGGGCUGGACACUUACCUUGAGCGAGCAUUAGACAAAGUCAAGGAAACUCAGAAUUUUCAUGAUUUUCGCAAAAAUGUCAGGGAAGCUGUAAAGGAAGUGGAGGACUGUGUUCACAUUCUGCUGGUUUGGCAUAUUGCUACAUGCUACUGCGAGAUUCAUCUUCUCGAUAAAACAAGAAGGGUGAAAAUCAAUAUAUUUUCGAGUGGGCGAGACUUGGGCAGGCACAGACCUUCGGAGGGCGAACCAAAUCUUUUGUGGUCUCAUUACAUGGUGGCUAGAACAUUGUCGCAGUACUGUGCGUAUGUGCUCACACUGGUUCCUCCUCUAGUGCCUGGGAACAGCCUAAUGGCCACGUCGGUGCUGGAAAAGGUUCUUGAAGAAAAAAGUCACCUUUUCGUCACAAGAUUUUACUCCUGGGUCCCUUGUUAUCGGUCCACCCGGAUGCUUGAAAAACUCAGGAAAUAUGCAUCAGAGGAAAAACAGGGCGAGGAAAAACAGAACGACCAAGAAGGGGACGAGGAAAACCAGGAUGGGAAAGAAGAGGAAAUCUAG
rnacentral:rRNA from 1 species